rnacentral:misc_RNA from 1 species
GAUGGGUCAAAUGGCGGCGGCGGAAGCGAGGAAGAUUGACUUCUGGACCGAAAUGGCGGAGAUGGGUCAAAUGGCGGCGGCGGUUGACGGUGGAAAGCACCGACGGUGGUGGAGUGAGGAUCUAGAAGAAUUUUUAGAGGAUGUAUUUUUGAGGUUGACGGAAGCAGGAUGGAAAGAAGAGGAUGUUAGAGAAAUGAUGAUGAUGGAUGAUUCCGGUGACCGGAGGAGAUGCAGC